UAGUGAUUUCAGCUCUUUUUGUAUUUGUCUAGCAGGCUUUCUGCUUUAGCGGAGAGCCCAU
rnacentral:snRNA from 1 species